rnacentral:lncRNA from 1 species
CAGCAAGCUAACCAGUUACUGGAAAAAUUCCACAGCUGAAGAACCCCUGGACAAUCUUCUGUUUUGACAUUUCUAGAACACUUGAAGUAGCUCUGAAUCAGAAACCACAAAGAGAUCCAGGACAUGUGUAAGAGAUGCCAGGGAGGGAUUGGAUUCUUCACUGCUCUGCAUUCAUUCACUCCAAGGCAUAUUGACAAGAAUAGGAUUCAGAUGAUGCAGAGCUGCUACUUUGGCUGUGCUCAAUGCUUCACUGAGUAUCAAGGACGGCUUGGAUCAGCUUGGGAUGGUAAAAUUAAGCCAGUUGUUUAGGACCUGAACACAAACCUAUCUCAUUGACUGUAGCCAAGUUUAACAUCCAAGCAU